GGUCAUUUUGGCUGUUAGCGACUUGCUUGGCAUUUGAGCUAGGUUAGUGGCUAUUAGUUCGGUGUAUUCGGGGAUGUCUAUCGUAAAGGUGCAUGAGUGGUGUUUGGUUUGUUACAGGUGGUUGGCUCUUUGCUUGCGCAACAACUUCCACCCGGCAUACCUCUUCAGUCUUGUUUCAAUGCUGUAUCGCGUUGAAUGCAUGAUGGGUUUCUUGUGUUGGAUGCCUAAUUGAUGGUAUCGUUUGAUGAAUUCAUUUCCCUUUUCGUCUUGUGUCGCCUAUGCGAUGUGGGAUGAACCUUGAAGCAWCCUUUGUGAUCCACUCUGUUGAUGCAUACGCAUUGAUUUUGUGGCCCAUUGAGUGUUGCUUGGUCUCAUGGAUAUGGAACCUGGUGUGGGCAUUGAAUCUUAAUGGUUCUUUGUUUGCCCAAGUUUAGCUUUUCUAAAAGAUUGUCUAUCGUGUUGUGUUAACAUGGUAGACUACUCGAAUAUGAAUGCUACCUGGUUGAUCCUGCCAGUAGUCAUAUGCUUGUCUCAAAAAUUAAGCC
rnacentral:misc_RNA from 1 species